CGGGGUGUUAAAUUUUGGUGCUAUUUUGACACCACUUUUAGAGUUAUAUUAACUCCUCGGUGGAGUAACGAGGUCUUCGAACGUUGAUUAGUAUGCAAAAAUAAUCCCAUCUAGAGGGUUAGAGAAAUUAACUCCAUUUUUGGAGUUAAAUUCCUCUCAUUAUAUAUUCAUAAUGGAGAUUUGAAAACAAGGAGUGAAGAUUGGUGAUGCACAUCGCGUUAAUGAUAAUUUUUAUUGAAAUUGAACAAAAUCUUGUAUUAAUUGAAAUCAUUUACUACAUCAGAAUACGUGAUGAAAAGAUUGCCUCGGAUAGUUCUGUUGAUUUUAAAAUCAAGACAAACUGAGUCAACUAAUCAAGAAAAAGAAAACCUCAUGAUGUGGGUUGAAUUGCCAGGGACACCUAUGCUAAGACUUCAGGUCUUUAUACAGCUCAGUGGCCGGGUCUUUCUUGGCGAAAUAUUUGCAAAGUACACACGAAGCCCUCGCUUGCUCCGUAAAAAGUUCUCUUUCUCGGUACUUUUCAUUCGAAAAUUGUAAACUUAGUAGAGGACUUGCGAUUUUGGAUGCGAAAAGCUGGAUUUGGCGACUAGUGCGAGCUAUUUUAAGAAGCAGUAGAAGGAGUCCACAAUGCCCGGUAGAGGGUAGAAGAAGCAAUGCCAAUGGGAAACUCAAACACAAAUUUCAAUACAAGAAAGCCCUAACCAGGCCCUAACCUAGCGAAACGAUGUUGAAAACAACCCCAAAAUAACUGUUCAAUUCUCAAUGGACGAAGCAACUUACCAUGAUGCAGUAAAUCUAGAUUGAAGACUUGUUUCGUGCAAUUGGCACAACAGGAAACCUCCGAAAAUUUUACUACGAGGAAAAUUGUAAAAGAAGAAACGUGGAUCAGUAUUGCUUAUACAGCCAAGUCAUCAUCUUGGUAGAGUGAGUCUUAGCUUAGUAGAACUCUAGUAGAACUGAACAACCAGUGUCUUAAUGACUAUACCAUUAUGUUUUAGGCAUGCAUGGUACUCCACUUAAAAACAUUUUCUAAGUUUUUUGCAAAUGUGCAUGUGUGUUAAAGUGUAAAUAAAAAGUAUUAAAGAGCUAUACUAUAGAAGCAAUUCCUUUAAUGCGUAGUUGACUUGCUGUACUCAAACAGAAAUGUAAUUGAUCUCAUGUAUUCAAUAUUAUAAUAAUAUAAUAACGAUAUUUGUGCUGCAUUGUUUGUUGACU
rnacentral:lncRNA from 1 species